CUGUAUGGAACCAGCGUACAGUCAGUCCGAGAGGUGGCCGAGAAGGGUAAACACUGCAUCCUGGACGUGUCGGGGAACGCCAUCAAGAGACUGCAGCUGGCUCAGCUUCACCCCAUCGCCAUCUUCAUCAAACCCAAAUCUGUGGAGAACAUCAUGGAGAUGAACAAGCGUCUGACAGAGGAGCAGGGCAGGAAAACCUUCGACAGAGCCACCAAGCUGGAGCAGGAGUUCACCGAGCAUUUCACAGGUGAGACGGCGCCCCC